UACGAAGGGGGCUAGCGUUGUUCGGAAUCACUGGGCGUAAAGGGCGCGUAGGCGGCCGAUUAAGUCGGGGGUGAAAGCCUGUGGCUCAACCACAGAAUUGCCUUCGAUACUGAUUGGCUUGAGACCGGAAGAGGUCAGUGGAACUGCGAGUGUAGAGGUGAAAUUCGUAGAUAUUCGCAAGAACACCAGUGGCGAAGGCGGCUGACUGGUCCGGUUCUGACGCUGAGACUCGAAAGCGUGGGGAGCAAACAGG
rnacentral:rRNA from 1 species